rnacentral:rRNA from 1 species
GACGAACGCUGGCGGCGUGCCUAAUACAUGCAAGUAGAACGCACAGUUUAUACCGUAGCUUGCUACACCAUAAACUGUGAGUUGCGAACGGGUGAGUAACGCGUAGGUAACCUGCCUGGUAGCGGGGGAUAACUAUUGGAAACGAUAGCUAAUACCGCAUAAUAUUAAUUAUUGCAUGAUAAUUGAUUGAAAGAUGCAAUUGCAUCACUACCAGAUGGACCUGCGCUGUAUUAGCUAGUAGGUGAGGUAACGGCUCACCUAGGCGACGAUACAUAGCCGACCUGAGAGGGUGAUCGGCCACACUGGGACUGAGACACGGCCCAGACUCCUACGGGAGGCAGCAGUAGGGAAUCUUCGGCAAUGGACGAAAGUCUGACCGAGCAACGCCGCGUGAGUGAAGAAGGUUUUCGGAUCGUAAAGCUCUGUUGUAAGAGAAGAACGGGUGUGAGAGUGGAAAGUUCACACUGUGACGGUAUCUUACCAGAAAGGGACGGCUAACUACGUG